AGCAAUACGGCAGCGGCAGACGGGAGAGUAACACGUGGGAACGCGCCCUUCGGUUCGGAAUAACUCAGGGAAACUUGGGCUAAUACCGAAUACGCCCUUACGGGGAAAGAUUUAUUGCCGAAGGAACGGCCCGCGUCCGAUUAGCUUGUUGGUGAGGUAACGGCUCACCAAGGCGACGAUCGGUAGCUGGUCUGAGAGGAUGACCAGCCUCACUGGGACUGAGACACGGCCCAGACUCCUACGGGAGGCAGCAGUGGGGAAUAUUGGACAAUGGGCGCAAGCCUGAUCCAGCCAUGCCGCGUGGGUGAUGAAGGCCCUAGGGUUGUAAAGCCCUUUCGGCGGGGAAGAUAAUGACGGUACCCGCAGAAGAAGCCCCGGCUAACUUCGUGCCAGCAGCCGCGGUAAUACGAAGGGGGCUAGCGUUGCUCGGAAUUACUGGGCGUAAAGCGCACGUAGGCGGCUUCUUAAGUCGGAGGUGAAAUCCUGGAGCUCAACUCCAGAACUGCCUUCGAUACUGGGAGGCUUGAGUCCGGGAGAGGUGAGUGGAACU
rnacentral:rRNA from 1 species